rnacentral:lncRNA from 1 species
GUCACAUUGGCGGCUGUUUCGGCAUCAGUUUCAGCGCCUGUCAACGUCUUUUGUUUUGUCCCUUUCGUAGCCCUUUUGUCGAACACCCACGAAUAUGCCUCACCGUGUAGUCCAAGCAGCACUUUGCUUGGUUUCAGCCCUCGCGGCCAAUUUCCCGGCAAGGUUCUGCCUGGCCAUGCUUCAUGAAGACUGCUGCCCUUGGACUCGUGGGAAACCAUUAUGCUGAAGGGAGGCAACUGUCAGCGACACGUGAGCUUUCAAACUAGCAUGUAGGGCAUCUAUAUAAACAAAUACCUUGUAUUGUUU